UACGGAGGGUGCGAGCGUUGUCCGGAAUCACUGGGCGUAAAGGGCGCGUAGGCGGUUCGUUAAGUUGCUGGUGAAAUCCCGGGGCUCAACUCCGGGGCUGCCAGUAAGACUGGCGGGCUAGAGCACGGUAGAGGCGGAUGGAAUUCCCGGUGUAGCGGUGGAAUGCGUAGAUAUCAGGAGGAACACCGGUGGCGAAGGCGGGUCUCUGGGCCGAUACUGACGCUGAGGAACGAAAGCGUGGGGAGCGAACAGG
rnacentral:rRNA from 1 species